rnacentral:rRNA from 1 species
UGGGGGAUAUUGCGCAAUGGAGGAAACUCUGAUGCAGCAACGCCGCGUGAGGGAAGAAGGUCUUCGGAUUGUAAACCUUAGUAGUCAGGGACGAAAGAAAUGACGGUACCUGAAGAGUAAGCUCCGGCUAACUACGUGCCAGCAGCCGCGGUAAUACGUAGGGAGCGAGCGUUGUCCGGAUUUACUGGGUGUAAAGGGUGCGUAGGCGGGACUGCAAGUCAGACGUGAAAUACCGAGGCUUAACUUCGGGGCUGCGUUUGAAACUGUGGUUCUUGAGUGAAGUAGAGGCAGGCGGAAUUCCUAGUGUAGCGGUGAAAUGCGUAGAUAUUAGGAGGAACACCAGUGGCGAAGGCGGCCUGCUGGGCUUUAACUGACGCUGAAGCACGAAAGCAUGGGGAGCAAACAGGAUUAGAUACCCUGGUAGUCCAUGCCGUAAACGAUGAUAGCUAGGUGUGGGGGGACUGACCCUUCCGUGCCGCAGCAAACGCAAUAAGCUAUCCACCUGGGGAGUACGACCGCAAGGUUGAAACUCAAAUGAAUUGACGGGGUCAUAGCUGUUUCCU